rnacentral:rRNA from 1 species
UACGUAGGGGGCAAGCGUUGUCCGGAAUUAUUGGGCGUAAAGAGCGUGUAGGCGGUCCGGUAAGUCAGCUGUGAAAGUCAAGGGCUCAACCCUUGAAAGCCGGUUGAUACUGUCGGGCUAGAGUCCGGAAGAGGCGAGUGGAAUUCCCGGUGUAGCGGUGAAAUGCGUAGAUAUCUGGAGGAACACCGGUGGCGAAGGCGGCAUCCUGGACCAAAACUGACGCUGAAUAGCGAAAGCCAGGGGAGCAAACGGG